rnacentral:rRNA from 1 species
AUGGACAGUGAACAACAUAUUGAGUUAUUCCAAGAGGAAACAACCCAGAUACUCAACCAAAAGGGGAUCGGCGGCACUGGGGGUGAGGGCCGGAAUCUGUCCGUGUACCUUGUGGUAUGCUGUCGGGACUGGUCUGUUUCUCAAACGAAGGCUCCCCUGUACAAGGUGGAAGUUGCCCUCUCCAACUCCGACGACCCUUCUUUGCCGCUGGGAGCGGAGCCUGCUGGCCGGGUAACCCUGCACCGAGCCCGUAAUCUGGAAACUGACAUGGGCGGCAAGACCUUUGUCUCCUUGCAGUCAGGGUGGAUAGUCGGCAUCGGGGGCAAUCCUGGCAGCACCAUCAUCUUUGACACCAAGAGUGGGAGAAUGAUCCGCGGGCCAAACCUGGUGGCCAGGAAGUGGAGCCCUGUGGUGGCUGUCGUUGGGGACAGGGUCUAUGCCCUCACAUCAACCCCUGACUACAUUCAAGAGCCCAAUUUUGUGCCCUGGUUCGAGGUCCUCGAUAUAUCCAAGCCGGACGUCACGGAGACGGCGGAGGGGGUGCUCAGCCUGGCAGACACGUGCACCUGGACACCACUGCCGUACCCGCUCUGCUUCCCUCGCAGGCUCACCCGGACGGACUUCCGUAUGCCACCCAGGAUAACAGUCACGUCCUCGGUGGUGGUCGAGCCAUACAUUUUGAUAUCGGUUAGUCGCCCGUACAACUCCACCUACGCAUUUGAUACCAGCUCAAGAGAGUGGCAUGAGGUCGAGGGCGAGCAACUGCCGUUCAUCGGCGCUGCCGCCCCGCACGGCGGCGGCAUCUUCCUUGCGCCUUCUCACAAGUACGGCCCCAAUCAAAGCUUACCGCAUCCGAGUCUCAACGUCUGGAAAGGGUGGUGCUAUUGA